UGGGGAAUAUUGGACAAUGGGGGAAACCCUGAUCCAGCGAUGCCGCGUGGGUGAAGAAGGCCUUCGGGUUGUAAAGCCCUUUAGGUUAGGAAGAAAGGUAGCAGGUUAAGAGCUAGUUACUGUGACGGUACUAACAGAAUAAGCACCGGCAAACUCUGUGCCAGCAGCCGCGGUAAUACAGAGGGUGCGAGCGUUAAUCGGAAUUACUGGGCGUAAAGGGCGCGUAGGCGGUAAUACAUGUGUGAUGUGAAAGCCCCGGGCUUAACCUGGGAAGUGCAUCGCAAACUGUGUUACUGGAGUAUAUGAGAGGGUGGCGGAAUUUCCGGUGUAGCGGUGAAAUGCGUAGAGAUCGGAAGGAACGUCGAUGGCGAAGGCAGCCACCUGGCAUAAUACUGACGCU
rnacentral:rRNA from 1 species